rnacentral:rRNA from 1 species
GUGAUUGCAGAAUUCCGCGAAUCAUCGAGUCUUUGAACGCAAGUUGCGCCCGAGGCUCGUCCGAGGGCAUUCCUGCCUGAGCGUCAU